CUGGCUCUGGCAACGCGUCUAGAGACUGGGGAGGCCCUCAUAGGACCCUCGGAAGUCUAUAUUCCACAUGUGCGCCACGCAGCUAGUGCUACUGCUGGUGUUCUUACUGACGUUCUCCGAGAAUGCCCAGCCUCAGCCCACUUCUUCCUCAACAGGGGCAGUACCCACUUCUACGGACCUGGGGUCCGGAACGCAGGGCGGGACCUCCCAGUCCUCGGCGGGGACUGCAACUCCCCCAGACGUCCCUGGGAUCUCUACUGAGGGCCCUCCUCUUGUGACCUCCUCGGCAUCUAGAAAUAGAACAGUGGGCCCUACUCUGGUGACCUCCUCUGCUCCUCGGAAUAGAACCGUGGACUUCUUCCCAGUCUUACCGAUCUGUGCCUGUGACUUGACUCUUGGUGCCUGCGACAUAAAUUGCUGCUGCGACAAGGACUGCUAUCUUCUCCAUCCAAGAACAAUUUUCUCCUUCUGCCUUCCUGGCAGCGUAAGGUCUUCAAGCUGGGUAUGUGUAGACAACUCUCUUAUCUUUAGGAGUAAUUCCCCGUUUCCUUCAAGGGUUUUUAUGGAUUCAAAUGGAAUUAGGCAGUUCUGUGUCCAUGUGAACAACUCCAAAUUAAACUAUUUCCAGAAGCUCCAAAAGGUCGAUGCAACCAAUUUCCAGGCCCUGGCUGCAGAGUUUGGAGGUGAAUCAUUCACUUCAGCAUUUCAAACCCAGUUGCCGUCAGCUUUUUACAGGGCUGGCGACCCCAUUCUUACUUACUUCCCUAAGUGGUCUGUAAAAAGCUUGCUGAGACAGCCUACAGGAGUUGUAGCUGGGGGCCUCUGUGCUGACACCAAUCCUGCAGGUUUCCUAGAAAGUAAAAGUACAACCUGCACACGUUUCUUCAAGAACCUGGCAAGUACCUGUACCUCGGAUUCAGCCCUCAAUGCUGCUGCUUACUAUAACUUCACAGUCUUGAAGGUUCCAAGAGGUAUGACUGAUCUGCAGAGUAUGGAGUUCCAGGUUCCUGUAACACUUGUAUCACAGCCUGGUCCUCCUGUGUUGGCUGGAAACAUUUGUCAGAAUGUUGUUUCCCAGGUUACCUAUGAGAUAGAGACCAAUGGGACUUUUGGAAUCCAGAAAGUUUCUGUCAGUUUUAGACAAACCAACCUGACUGUGGAGCCAAGCGCUUCCUUACAACAACAUUUCAUCAUUCGCUUCAAGGCUUUUCAACAGAGAAUAGCUGCUUCUCCUAAAGGUCUGAGAAGUGGGAAUCCUGGCUAUAUUGUUGGGAAGCCACUCUUGGCUCUAACUGGUGAUAUAAAUUACUCAAUGACCCUUUUGCAAAGCCAGGGUAAUGGGAUUUGUUCUGUUAAGAGACAUGAAAUACAAUUUGGAGUGAAUGCAAUAUCUGGAUGCAAGCUCAGGCCAAAGUUGCCAAACUGCAGCCAUUUCCAGCAGGAGAUUUAUCAGACUCUUCAUGGAAGGCAGAGACCAGAGCAUGUUGCCAUCUUUGGUAAUGCUGACCCAGCCCAGAAAGGAGAGUGGACCCGGAUCCUCCAUAGGAGCUGUGGUGUUUCAGCUAUGAACUGUACUUCCUGCUGUUUCAUACCAGUUUCCUUGGAGAUUCAGGUCUUAUGGGCAUUUAUAGGCCUCCAGUCCAAUCCACAAGCUCAUGUGUCAAGAGCCCAAUUCCUAUACCAAUGCCAGUCUAUAGAGGUUACCCAAGAAGUUUCUUUGACAACUCUUGUGAAGUUUGUGGAUAUUACCCAGAAGCCAGAGCCUCCAAGGGGCCAACCCAGAACAGACUGGAAAUUGCCAUUUGACUUCUUUUUCCCCUUCAAAGUGGCAUUCAGCAGAGCAAUAGACUCUCAAAAAGCCUCAGUCUCUCCCAUCCUUAUCCUGUGCGUCUUACUACUUGGAGUUCUCAACUUAGAGAAUAAGUGAAGAAAAGAGAAUAAUCAGAUUUCAGUAUUCCCUAUGGGAAGCUCUGAGGCAGCCUGCUUUUCUUGGCUAAACAGACCCUCACCUGCCUAUGACCAGAAGAGAGCAUUUAGCAUAAUAGAAGACACAACUGAAGGAAUCUUUAUAUAUGAAAGGAGCACAAGGCAAUGGCAGCUUACAAAGGUUCCUGCCUACCUGGCCAAUUCAGAAAUUCUGGCAUACAGAAUAGGAAAUGGUAAUUUCCUAUUACUAUUCUUGAGUUUCUUGAGUGGAGAAGAAUUGGUUGGGAAUUAUGGUAGAGAAUUUGGAAAUCAAGGAAGCAUAAAAAGGGUUUAGGCCUGGAACAGAUUAUGGUAGCCUGGUAAUGGCAAAAUUUUGGUGGAAGAUAGGUCCAAUCUAAUUGAUUUAAACUUUAAGUCCCUUUUACAAAGAAUUGAAUGUAAAGGACAGGAUGUAAUAUAAUACCCCCAAUGAAUUUCUUUGUGGAAGGUGGAAUUGUAAAGUACAGCCCCUCAGUGACCCAAGAGUUUAGUGGGGGAAGACUGACAUGCGACACGGGAGACAUAUUUAUUCAGAGAAGCAGAAAAUCAAUGAGGCCUAAAUAGUGAAGGGCAAGCUUGGAGGCAGUGGUGGGAUUGGAACCGAUGUGGCAGUGUGGGUAAGAGUGGGUGAGAGGAAAGAAGUGAUCCUAGGAGAACAACCAGAGUGAAGUCCCAGGGGUUGGUGUAAAGUGGAGAGUUGGGAGGCUGAAGUGACUGUAGUAGAAACAGUGAAUGGGCAGAACAGAGCUAGUAUAAGCAAGAUGGUAGCUCGUUAUGUGGGGAUUUGAAAGAUAGCCAGAGAGGAUUGGGAGACAGGGUUUUUUUACCCGCAGUAUAUUAAUACUCUGAAAUUACAUUAGCCUUUAAAUAAAGCAUAUACUUAGUUAUAAUCUUG